rnacentral:lncRNA from 1 species
CGCAAAUUUCCCUAAAAUUUUAAAGCUUAGCUUUCCCUUUUUCCACCGUCAAAAGCAUAUGGUUGACCGCGUGUCUCAAGUCAAAUCAAAGCCCAUUCAAAAAUCCGUAGUACAUGUAAUGCAACGAUAACUUUGGCUUGCGCGCUGUCUCUUUGCGUAUUUAUAUGCAAGCAAUUUAGGGCUCCCUCUCCCGCCGCCCGCUCCAUUAGUUUCCUGAAGCAACUCCUAUUGAUUAUUAUUUGGUGGUAAUAAUCUGCUCCUGUACAUAUUUCUGUAACAUUAUUCGCAUUCUGUUUCCGAAUUUGCUGUUUAUUUUUAUGCUAUGAAGAAUUACUGCAUUUUCCUUUUUGAAUGAUUUUCUUUUGUCGAAAUUCCAUAUUCAGAGUGGUGCUGGGGGGAAGGGAAGUAUAUUUAUUGGAUGGCUCUUCGAUUUGAG